rnacentral:rRNA from 1 species
UAGGGAAUCUUCGGCAAUGGACGAAAGUCUGACCGAGCAACGCCGCGUGAGUGAAGAAGGUUUUCGGAUCGUAAAACUCUGUUGUUAGAGAAGAACAAGGAUGAGAGUAGAAUGUUCAUCCCUUGACGGUAUCUAACCAGAAAGCCACGGCUAACUACGUGCCAGCAGCCGCGGUAAUACGUAGGUGGCAAGCGUUGUCCGGAUUUAUUGGGCGUAAAGCGAGCGCAGGCGGUUUCUUAAGUCUGAUGUGAAAGCCCCCGACUCAACCGGGGAGGGUCAUUGGAAACUGGGAAACUUGAGUGCAGAAGAGGAGAGUGGAAUUCCAUGUGUAGCGGUGAAAUGCGUAGAUAUAUGGAGGAACACCAGUGGCGAAGGCGGCUCUCUGGUCUGUAACUGACGCUGAGGCUCGAAAGCGUGGGGAGCAAACAGG